CGCAGCCGCGGUAAUUCCAGCUCCAAUAGCGUAUAUUAAAGUUGUUGCAGUUAAAAAGCUCGGAGUUGAAUUUCGGGGUUCUACCGUCGGUCGGGCUACCAAGUCUGUACUGGUGUGUAGAACUUCUACCUUCUGGGGAACCAUCAUGUUAUUAAUUUAGCGUGGUGGGAAACCAGGACCUUUACCUUGAAAAAUUAGAGUGUUCAAAGCAGGCUUAUGUCUGAAUACAUUAGCAUGGAAUAAUAGAAUAGGACGGUGGUCCUGUUUUGUUGGUUUCUGAAUCACCGUAAUGAUUAAUAGGGAUAGUUGGGGGCAUUAGUAUUCAAUUGUCAGAGGUGAAAUUCUUGGAUUUAUUGAAGACUAACUUCUGCGAAAGCAUUUGCCAAGGAUGUUUUCAUUAAUCAAGAACGAAAGUUAGGGGAUCGAAGACGAUCAGAUACCGUCGUAGUC
rnacentral:rRNA from 1 species